GGAAGAGAGGGGCGGGUGACGGUGAGAGAGCGUGGGUGGCAUGCGUUGGCCGGGUUGGAGGGGCGUAAAGCGGGCGCAGGCUGGGUUAGACGUCUGGGGUGACAAACCGGGGCUCAAGCACGGGUCGGCAUUGGAGACGGGAAGACUUGAGGAGCGGAGAGGCAAGUGGAAUUCCACGUGUAGCCGUGAAAUGCGUAGAUAUGUGGAGGAACACCUGUGGCGAAGGCGCCUUGCUGGCCGAUUUCUGACGCUGAGGCGCGAAAGCGUGGGGAGCAAACAGGAUUAGAUAACCCUGUAGUC
rnacentral:rRNA from 1 species